rnacentral:pre_miRNA from 1 species
CGUGUACCGGUGGGGUCCCUCAGCCUGGCUUGCCACCUCUCGCAGUAGGGACUGCUUGGGGAAUGUCGGAGAGCUGGUUUCAGCCCAAUCCCCACAGGCCAGGCUGAGGGACCCCACUGGUGCAUG